rnacentral:rRNA from 1 species
GCUAAACGCGAAGAACCUUACCAGGGUUUGACAUCCUACUAAUUUCUCCGAAAGGAGAGAGUGUCUUCGGACCGUAGUGACAGGUGAUGCAUGGCCGUCGUCAGCUCGUGUUGUGAAACGUUAGGUUAAGUCCUAUAACGAGCGCAACCCUUUUGUUUAGUUGAAUUUCUCUAAACAGACUGCCCUGGUAACAGGGAGGAAGGAGGGGUCGAAGUCAGGUCAGUAUUACCCUUACGUCUGGGGCUACAAACACGCUACAAUGGCCGGUACAAAGGGCUGCCAACCCGCGAGGGGGAGGCGAAAUACCCACUCAAAGACCGGUCUCAGUUCGGUAUUGUAGGCUGAAACUACGCCUGCAUGAAGCUGGAAUCGCUAGUAAUGGUAGGUCAGCACACUACCGUGAAUACGUUCCCGGG